CCCCACGUGGUGCAGUGGUUAAAGCACCUGGCCGCACAUUGCUGUACGACUACGCAUGUGAGUAGGUUCGAAUCCUGCCGUGGGCU